UUAACAAAUUUGUCAACAUUUGUUAAAAAACAAAUUCGGAACUAAAGGAAUUGCACAUGUCUAUAAUGGGUUGUCUUGAUUUUUGUUCAUUACCUCCCACCAUGCCUAUAUCUAAUCAAUCACAACACGAUCGAUAUAUAAUAUCGCUUUAUCUUUCAUCAAACAAUUUUGAGUGAAGAUAAUGAGAAGACGCGUUUCAUAGACCAACGGUGCUCUUCCUCAGGGGGAAUCACAGGAGGUAGUGAUCUAAAAUGUAUCAUUAUAAUACAAGUAUUAAUAUAAUUCAUACAGGGAUCGCCUUUGGUAUCGGCACAGUGGCAAUACCAAAUGUUUUAAAUCCUUGUCAUCACAUUUUGUAAAAAAAUAAUAAAAAAAUUAAAAUAAAAAGUUAAAGCUGAAUUUAUAUCUUAGCAUCACGUAAACGCACAUUUUUUCAAAACACACAUAGGGCAGUCUAUUCAAUUGAUUUGGGCUGCCCUGAGGAAGUGCACUGUUGGUCUACGAAACGCGCUGAGAUUUAGCCAUCAAUCAUCUUCACUCAAGCCUUUGUAAUAAUAGAUAAAGUGAUGUUAUGUAUCAAUCUUGUGAUGACACAGAGAUAAGCACGGUGGGUAGGAGAUCUAAAGACUUUCAAUCCUUUAUAUUUUUUUAGGAGGUUGUGAAUUAUAUUUGGGAAUUUUAGUACCUUGACAGUCCUUGUUGUGUUUUUUUUGUUGCCUACACUGAUAUGUUGUAGGGAUGUUGGUGCGCCUUCAAUUUGGUAAUAACUCCUAUAUACAAUACAACUUAUACAAUGUUUCCACUUUCCAUCAAGCAAAUUGUCAUUCCUUGGACACAUAAUAUCCACAAAAAUACAUUCCUCCUAGGAUUCUCCUCCACGGGGAGCAACAGAUGGCAAACAGGCCGCAGUCUCCAGAAUUCUGCAGGAGAUGGACGUUCCAUGAUUAUGUCUCUAUACAGGUUGAGGUCUCCAGAAUUCUGCAGGAGAUGGGACAUUCCAUGAUUAUGUCUCUAUACAGGUUGAGGUCUCCAGAAUUCUGCAGGAGAUGGGACGUUCCAUGAUUAUGUCUCCAUAUAGGUUGAGGUCUCCAGAAUUCUGCAGGAGAUGGGACGUUCCAUGAUUAUGUCUCCAUAUAGGUUGAGGUCUCCAGAAUUCUGCAGGAGAUGGGACUUCCCAUGAUUAUGUCUCCAUAUAGGUUGAGGUCUCCAGAAUUCUGCAGGAGAUGGGACGUUCCAUGAUUAUGUCUCCAUAUAGGUUGAGGUCUCCAGAAUUCUGCAGGAGAUGGGACUUCCCAUGAUUAUGUCUCCAUAUAGGUUGAGGUCUCCAGAAUUCUGCAGGAGAUGGGACGUUCCAUGAUUAUGUCUCCAUAUAGGUUGAGGUCUCCAGAAUUCUGCAGGAGAUGGGACGUUCCAUGAUUAUGUCUCUUUAUAGGUUGAGGUCUCCAGAAUUCUGCAGGAGAUGGGACGUUCCAUGAUUAUGUCUCCAUAUAGGUUGAGGUCUCCAGAAUUCUGCAGGAGAUGGGAUGUUCCAUGAUUAUGUCUCCAUAUAGGUUGAGGUCUCCAUAAGUCUGCAGAUGGGACUUCCCAUGAUUAUGUCUCCAUAUAGGUUGAGGUUUCCAGAAUUCUGCAGGAGAUGGACGUUCCAUGAUUAUGUCUCUAUACAGGUUGAGGUCUCCAGAAUUCUGCAGGAGAUGGGACGUUCCAUGAUUAUGUCUCUAUUUAGGUUGAGGUUUCCAGAAUUCUGCAGGAGAUGGGACGUUCCAUGAUUAUGUCUCUAUAUAGGUUGAGGUCUCCAGAAUUCUGCAGGAGAUGGGACGUUCCAUGAUUAUGUCUCUACAUAGGUUGAGGUCUCCAGAAUUCUGCAGGAGAUGGGACUUCCCAUGAUUAUGUCUCCAUAUAGGUUGAGGUCUCCAGAAUUCUGCAGGAGAUUGGAGGUUCCAUGAUUAUGUCUCUAUAUAGGUUGAGGUCUCCAGAAUUCUGCAGGAGAUGGGACGUUCCAUGAUUAUGUCUCUAUACAGGUUGAGGUCUCCAGAAUUCUGCAGGAGAUUGACGUUCCAUGAUUAUGUCUCAAUAUAGGUUGGGGUCUCCAGAAUUCUGCAGGAGAUGGGACGUCCCAUGAUUAUGUAUCUAUAUAGGUUGAGGUCUCCAGAAUUCUGCAGGAGAUGGGACAUUCCAUGAUUAUGUCUCUACAUAGGUUGUGGUCUCCAGAAUUCUGCAGGAGAUGGGACGUUCCAUGAUUAUGUCUCAAUAUAGGUUGAGGUCUCCAGAAUUCUGGAGGAGAUGGGGCGUUCCAUGAUUAUGUCUCUAUACAGGUUGAGGUCUCCAGAAUUCUGGAGGAGAUGGGGCGUUCCAUGAUUAUGUCUCUACAUAGGUUGUGGUCUCCAGAAUUCUGCAGGAGAUGGGACAUUCCAUGAUUAUGUCUCUACAUAGGUUGUGGUCUCCAGAAUUCUGCAGGAGAUUGACGUUCCAUGAUUAUGUCUCAAUAUAGGUUGGGGUCUCCAGAAUUCUGCAGGAGAUGGGACGUCCCAUGAUUAUGUAUCUAUAUAGGUUGAGGUCUCCAGAAUUCUGCAGGAGAUGGGACAUUCCAUGAUUAUGUCUCUACAUAGGUUGUGGUCUCCGGAAUGCUGCAGGAGAUGGGACGUUCCAUGAUUAUGUCUCUAUAUAGGUUGUGGUCUCCAGAAUGCUGCAGGAGACGUUCCAUGACACUAUCCCUGUAUCUUAUGUAUACCUCUAUAUAUCUUCUGAACUGGUGAGGUCAAAUACGAAGACACUGUAUACAGAGAACAGAAGAUACAUGAUGGGAGAUCACCGAUAUGUCAUUUAUUGAAGUCAUCUGCGAUUUAUGAUAAUCCCAAAUAAAGACUAAUUUAUUGAAAAGUC